rnacentral:rRNA from 1 species
AUUGGAAUGAGUACAAUUUAAAUCCCUUAACGAGGAACAAUUGGAGGGCAAGUCUGGUGCCAGCAGCCGCGGUAAUUCCAGCUCCAAUAGCGUAUAUUAAAGUUGUUGUGGUUAAAAAGCUCGUAGUUGAACCUUGGGCCUGGCUGGCCGGUCCGCCUCACCGCGUGUACUGGUCCGGCCGGGCCUUUCCCUCUGUGGAACCCCAUGCCCUUCACUGGGUGUGGCGGGGAAACAGGACUUUUACUGUGAAAAAAUUAGAGUGCUCCAGGCAGGCCUAUGCUCGAAUACAUUAGCAUGGAAUAAUAGAAUAGGACGUGUGGUUCUAUUUUGUUGGUUUCUAGGACCGCCGUAAUGAUUAAUAGGGACAGUCGGGGGCAUCAGUAUUCAAUUGUCAGAGGUGAAAUUCUUGGAUUUAUUGAAGACUAACUACUGCGAAAGCAUUUGCCAAGGAUGUUUUCAUUAAUCAGGAACGAAAGUUAGGGGAUCGAAGACGAUCAGAUACCGUCGUAGUCUUAACCAUAAACUAUGCCGACUAGGGAUCGGACGGUGUUAUUUUUUGACCCGUUCGGCACCUUACGAGAAAUCAAAGUGCUUGGGCUCCAGGGGGAGUAUGGUCGCAAGGCUGAAACUUAAAGGA